UACGUAGGGGGCGAGCGUUGUCCGGAUUCAUUGGGCGUAAAGAGCGCGUAGGCGGCCCGGAAAGUGGGGUGUGAAAACCCGAGGCUCAACCUCGGGCGUGCAUUCCAAACUCCCAGGCUCGAGGCAGGUAGGGGAGAUCGGAAUUCCUGGUGUAGCGGUGAAAUGCGCAGAUAUCAGGAGGAACACCGGUGGCGAAGGCGGAUCUCUGGGCCUGUUCUGACGCUGAGGCGCGAAAGCUAGGGGAGCAAACAGG
rnacentral:rRNA from 1 species